UACGUAGGGGGCAAGCGUUGUCCGGAAUCAUUGGGCGUAAAGAGCGUGUAGGCGGUCCGGUAAGUCGGCUGUGAAAGUCAAAGGCUCAACCUUUGAAUGCCGCUGGAAACUGUCUGGCUAGAGUCCGGAAGGGGCGAGUGGAAUUCCUGGUGUAGCGGUGAGAUGCGCAGAUAUCAGGAGGAACACCAAUGGCGAAGGCAGCUCGCUGGAACGGUACUGACGCUGAGGCGCGAAAGCGUGGGGAGCGAACAGG
rnacentral:rRNA from 1 species